rnacentral:rRNA from 1 species
CAUCCGGUGGCGAAGGCGGCUUACUGGACGAUAACUGACGCUGAGGCUCGAAAGCGUGGGGAGCAAACAGGAUUAGAUACCCUGGUAGUCCACGCUGUAAACGAUGAAUACUAGGUGUUGGGGGGCGAAGCUCUUCGGUGCCGCAGCAAACGCAAUAAGUAUUCCGCCUGGGGAGUACGUUCGCAAGAAU